UUUAUUGGAGAGUUUGAUCCUGGCUCAGGAUGAACGCUGGCGGCGUGCCUAAUACAUGCAAGUCGAGCGAAUGGAUUGAGAGCUUGCUCUCAAGAAGUUAGCGGCGGACGGGUGAGUAACACGUGGGUAACCUGCCCAUAAGACUGGGAUAACUCCGGGAAACCGGGGCUAAUACCGGAUAACAUUUUGAACCGCAUGGUUCGAAAUUGAAAGGCGGCUUCGGCUGUCACUUAUGGAUGGACCCGCGUCGCAUUAGCUAGUUGGUGAGGUAACGGCUCACCAAGGCAACGAUGCGUAGCCGACCUGAGAGGGUGAUCGGCCACACUGGGACUGAGACACGGCCCAGACUCC
rnacentral:rRNA from 1 species